rnacentral:lncRNA from 1 species
AAUUCUACUUUUUUACAUGGUACGUAGUUUAAAACUGGCAUUUGAAACUUGGUGCAUUUGUUGACUAAUAUGAAUUUAUUAGUGUGGCGGAGUGUAAUGGUAACAUGCAUAUUUUGAUUUCUAUACGUAUCACCUGAAAAUAGGAGAAUAGUGGAGCUCCCCUUAUAAAAAUUAUAAGAGAGACGAGUUGUUCAUUCAUUAAAUUAUAUUCAUCUAAAACAAAGCUUUAAUACCAGAUCUUGUUUCGACAUGGUAUGCAUCUUUAAUUACAGCUUCGCAGUCUUCUGCUUGUUACUUA